GUUCCUUCAGGGACAUCUGAUAAAUUUGGAAUGAUACAAAGAAGAUUAGCAUCGCGCCUUGCCUCUGCGCAAGGAUGACACGCACAAAUCCAGUCUUCUUCU